rnacentral:rRNA from 1 species
GACGAACGCUGGCGGCGUGCCUAAUACAUGCAAGUCGAACGCACUCUCGUUUAGAUUGAAGGAGCUUGCUCCUGAUUGAUAAACAUUUGAGUGAGUGGCGGACGGGUGAGUAACACGUGGGUAACCUGCCCUAAAGUGGGGGAUAACAUUUGGAAACAGAUGCUAAUACCGCAUAAAACCUAAACACCGCAUGGUGUAGGGUUGAAAGAUGGUUUCGGCUAUCACUUUAGGAUGGACCCGCGGUGCAUUAGUUAGUUGGUGAGGUAAAGGCUCACCAAGACCGUGAUGCAUAGCCGACCUGAGAGGGUAAUCGGCCACACUGGGACUGAGACACGGCCCAGACUCCUACGGGAGGCAGCAGUAGGGAAUCUUCCACAAUGGACGAAAGUCUGGAUGGAGCAACGCCGCGUGAGUGAAGAAGUUUCGGAUCGUAAAACUCUAGUUGUUUGGAGAAGAAUGUAUCUGAUAGUAACU